rnacentral:tRNA from 1 species
GUGGUGGCUCAGUGGUAGAGUUCUUGCUUAGCAUGGAUGAGGCACUGGGUUCAAUACCCAGCACCACA